rnacentral:rRNA from 1 species
UACGAAGGGUGCAAGCGUUAAUCGGAAUUACUGGGCGUAAAGCGUGCGUAGGCGGUUUGUUAAGUCUGUUGUGAAAUCCCCGGGCUCAACCUGGGAAUGGCAAUGGAUACUGGCAGGCUAGAGUGUGUCAGAGGAUGGUGGGAUUCCCGGUGUAGCGGUGAAAUGCGUAGAGAUCGGGAGGAACAUCAGUGGCGAAGGCGGCCAUCUGGGACAACACUGACGCUGAGGCACGAAAGCGUGGGGAGCAAACAGG